rnacentral:rRNA from 1 species
AGAGGGCGACCGGCCASACUGGGACUGAGACACGGCCCAGACUCCUACGGGAGGCAGCAGUGGGGAAUAUUGCACAAUGGGGGAAACCCUGAUGCAGCGACGCAGCGUGCGGGAUGACGGCCUUCGGGUUGUAAACCGCUUUCAGAAGGGAAGAAGCGCAAGUGACGGUACCUGCAGAAGAAGUACCGGCUAACUACGUGCCAGCAGCCGCGGUAAUACGUAGGGUACRAGCGUUGUCCGGAAUUAUUGGGCGUAAAGAGCUCGUAGGUGGUUGGUCRCGUCUGCUGUGGAAACSCAACGCUUAACGUUGSGCGUGCAGUGGGUACGGGCUGACUAGAGUGCAGUAGGGGAGUCUGGAAUUCCUGGUGUAGCGGUGAAAUGCGCAGAUAUCAGGAGGAACACCGGUGGCGAAGGCGGGACUCUGGGCUGUWACUGACRCUGAGGAGCGAAAGCAUGGGGAGCGAACAGGAUUAGAUACCCUGGUAGUCCAUGCCGUAAACGUUGGGCACUAGGUGUGGGGGRCAUUCCACGUUCUCCGCGCCGUAGCUAACGCAUUAAGUGCCCCGCCUGGGGAGUACGG